rnacentral:rRNA from 1 species
GUGUCAGCAGCCGCGGUAAUACGAACCGUCCAAACGUUAUUCGGAUUUAUUGGGCUUAAAGGGUAUGUAGGCGGCCCUUCAAGUCGGGUGUGAAAGCCCUCGGCUCAACCGAGGAACUGCGCCCGAUACUGUGGGGCUUGAGGGAGACAGAGGUAAGCGGAACUGAUGGUGGAGCGGUGAAAUGCGUUGAUAUCAUCAGGAACACCAGUGGCGAAAGCGGCUUACUGGGUCUCUUCUGACGCUGAGAUACGAAAGCUAGGGGAGCGAACGGGAUUAGAUACCCCCGUAGUCC